rnacentral:rRNA from 1 species
UACGUAGGGCGCAAGCGUUGUCCGGAAUUAUUGGGCGUAAAGCGCGCGCAGGCGGUCUUUUAAGUCUGAUGUGAAAUCUCGUGGCUCAACCACGAACGGUCAUUGGAAACUGGGGGACUUGAGUACAGAAGAGGAGAGUGGAAUUCCACGUGUAGCGGUGAAAUGCGUAGAGAUGUGGAGGAACACCAGUGGCGAAGGCGACUCUCUGGUCUGUAACUGACGCUGAGGAGCGAAAGCGUGGGGAGCGAACAGG